GGGAUUCGCUAGCGGCGCCCUCUAGUGGCGUUUCGCGGAGCCUUGGCGGAAACCCUACUGGGAGCCGGUGUGUCCCCCAGUAACAUUUGCAAAUGAAAGAAGGUAAUUCCCUCUGCAGCCCCCCGACAAGUGACCUUGCUCUUUUCUCCUUGGCCAGUGGGAAGCAAACUCAGGAGCUCUGGCCUUAGGAGAUGGGAGGAAGACUAAAGCAGCAGUUCUCAAAGUGUGAUCCGGGAGACCCUGCAGAUCCCAAGAUCCUUUCUAGAGUUUCGGUGGGAGAACUAGUUUUAGAAUUAUAGACGUCAUUUGCCUUUUAAACUCACAAUGGAAUUUUCCAGAGGCGACCUGAUGUCUAAUGAUGACACUGCUCUUAUGACCAAAGGAAUGUGAGCUCGUAUAUUCUUUUAGAAUUUCCUAAGUGAAUCCAGGAAAAUAGAGGAUGCUUCAAAGAAGGAAACGCGAGAGUACCCUGCACCCAAACAGCCUCUGGCCUGAGGAACAAGGAACAGACCAAUGUUCUGGCCCUGGUGCAAGUGAAUGUUUGGCAUAGUCUGCUGGCAACAACAGAAGUUAUUACCUGAAAACUCAUUCUGAAGGUGGAGGAUGUUGGGGGAGUGCUCUUGACAGUUCCAGUCUCCUCAACCUCUUCCUCUUCGUAAGCCUUUCUCCUCUGCUUUGCAUCCCUGUCCCCAAUCACAAGAAUAGGACUGAUAAGUAGAGCUCUGCAAUAUGGGUUAUGAACACCUGCAGUUUAAGACAAGUAAACAAUUGAUGGCAGCAGUGGCCUGUCUGGAGCGGCUACUGUGAAGAUGCCAGCUGUAGUGUGGGAGGCACGGUGGGGGCUGCGUGCUCCGUGGAGCUGGCCGGAGCCCCACCCUCUUCUGAGUUGGCCGGGUGGGAGCCCCACGCUUUCCGGCACAGCUGCAACCACCCAGCCACAGCUGCAGACCUGGACAUCCCUGUGCUCUCGGGGGCUGGGAAGACCCCCUGACCCGCAGGCUUGGAAGUGCCUGCUCCUGCUGCCUGGCCUCUCCUUGCUCCUGGAGCCCACUCUGGGGUGGAGCAAAGUUGUGGCUGAGGCCAAGCGCUGUCUAGACCCAGCUGGGUGUGCGUGCGCCUGGGGCGCCGCUGACAUGCCAGCCCCCUGCCACCCUGGCCCCCUCUAGGCUUUGGGCACUGAGAAGCACAGGAGAGAGGCUGGCGGCGUGGGGUGGGGGAGCUGAGGGCACUCGGUGCGGGCUGCCGGUACUCCUCUGCAGGAACAGCCUGGGCGCUGUGGAUGACAUGAUUGAUGGUGGCAGGAGGCAGACAGGCUCCUGGGCGGAAAGAGGUGGGUCCCCGGUAAAGCCCCACCAUCAAGCCAGGGAGGCCUGAAGCCCAGGGGCUAGGCUGUCAGUCCCGGGUGAAGUCUGUGGCCCGGAGUGAGAACUUAUGGUGAUUUUUCCGGGUCAGCCCAUGGCCACCCAUGGGCCAAUCAGCAUGCACUUCCUCCCUUCUGAGCCUAGCCAGACUCACACAGACGCUGGGACUACCAGCUGUGGGAAGGAGCUACCCAAUUCAGGUCUCCUCGACUCAUCAAGACAACCUGCCUGAAGAAGGGAGCUACCCACUCUGGGUCUCUUCUCCACUGAGAGCUGGACACUUACUGGGACAACCUGCCUGCGGAAAGGAGCUACCCACUUCAAGUUUCCCGAGAGCUGUUCUGUCACUCGAUAAGGCUCCUCUCCGCCUUGCUCACCCUCUAGUUGUCCGCGUACCUCAUUCUUCCUGGAUGUGGGACGAGAACUCAGGACCCACUGAAUGGCGGGACUGAAAGAGCAGUAACACAAACAGGGCUGAAACACGCCCUCCUCCCGUCCCCACACCCCCGCGACUUGCCAUGUUGCGGGUGAUGUGAAGGAGAGAAGUGCUGUGGCCCUUCAGGGAGCACAGACCUAGGGGCUCCCUGAGCCAGGGCUGUGACACCCUCUUUGGGGCUCUGCGGUUUCUGGUAUCUUCAAACUUCCGGGCACCACUGCAUUCCCCUUGUCCAGACACAGGUGCCCACAGCAGAAGCCGCUUGUGGUUCAUCAGAUCCAGCUGCAGACUUGCAUAGAACCGGCACCUUUGCCGGCGCCUGGAGCUGCCUGCCCAGCUGCAGCAGCUGGUGUGUCCGGCUCUGCGCAGUGGCCAGACCCUGCGUUCGCUCGCCUGCACACCCCUCGCUGUUCCGUGCCUGGCUCACCCUCGGCAGGCGUGGAAUCCUGGCUGGUAGCAUGAGCUGAGCACAGCCUGCCAGGCCACGUCAGUGGAACAAGUCUGGCGGGCCUGAUCAAAACUCAGGCAAAGGCACCACUGGUCACAGAGCUUUCUAGCUGGAAAAGCAACACCUGAAGGAUCCCGUGACACAAUCAACCUGCUAGGAGAUCCCUGCCACCCUGAGAGGCUGCAGGAAGCUGCCUCCAUCCAGGCCUCUUCACAGAAGGAGAAUUGCAGAGACCGUAGGAUUUUUCUACUCACAGGAACAGAUGGUGUCCGGUCAGGAAGGUAAAAUGCUUCAAGAAAAGUGCAAUAGGGAUUAUAAUACUGAUGAUCUGAGACUCUGAUAAUGACUCUGAGAUGAUUCCCAAUUCUAUGAUGAAUCAUCUCAGAAUGACUCCGAGAUGAUGAUUCCUGAUUCUACGAUGAUUGAGGCAGAGCUCACUGGUUGGUGAAUCUAGUUGGUAGAGCUGAGGCACCGCAAUACCAUCAUUUCUUUCUGAGGAAAUCUAAAGAUGAAAGAAUUCAUCACUAAAACUGUACUACGAGAAAUGCUAAAGGAAGUUGUUCAAACUGAUGGAAAAUUAUACCAGAUGGACACUUGAAUUUGCCCAAAGGAAUGAAGAGCACCAGAAAUGGCAAAUGUGUGGGGCUUCAUUUACCAUCAUUAUCCUGGGGCUUUUGGAAUGCCUGAUCCACAGGCCUGGAUUCUCACACAAGAUGGCAUCUGAGGAGACCUGCUUCAUCAUGAAGGAGGUGUGGGAGCAGGUCCUGACCAGUAGGAUUCAUCGUUCAUAUCAUAUACCACAGCAUUCACAAGUAGCCAUCCUAACAGAGCAUCUGAAUGAUCUGCUGAAGGUGUAAUUGAAGUGCCAACUUGGAGACAAGACUCUGCAAGCAUGGGGUACCAUCUUCCAGGAUGAAAUAUAGGCACUGUAUUCAUGUUCUAUUGCUAGGUAACAAAUUAACACAAAUUUAGUGGCAUAAACAACACAUGUUUAUUACCUUACAGUUUCUGUGGGUCAAGAGUCUGGGCAUAGCUUAGCCGAGUCCUCUGUUCAGGGUCUCCAAGGCUGGAAUCGAUGUGUCAGCUGGGGCUGGGGUCUCUCUUCUAAGUUCACUUGGUUGUUGGCAGAAUUCAUUUUCUUGCAGUUGUAUAACUUCUUUUUUCUUCAAGGCCAGCAAGAGAAUUCUUUUUUUUUUUUUUUUUUUUUUUUGAGACAGAGUCUCACUCUGUCGCCCAGUCUGGAGUGCAGUGGUAUGAUUUCGGCUCACUGCAACCUCUGCCUCCCGAGUUCAAGUGAUUCUCAUGCCUCAGCUUCCCGAGUGGCUGGGACUACAGGCGGGUGCCACCAUGCCUGGCUAAUUUUUGUAUUUUUAGUAGAGACGGGGUUUCGCCACUUUGGCCUGGCUACUCUUGAACUCCUGGCCUCAAGUGAUCCGCCUGCCUCAGCCUCCCAAAGUGCUGCGAUUACAGGCUUGAGCCACCGCACCCGGCCUCCAAUUACUAUCAUUUCUAAUGGCCCACAGGGGCACUCAUGUUUCCUGAAUUUGCAACUGUGGGCUCUGCAGAGUUCAAGGUUCUGUUCUGCAAAGGGGCACAUUCUUGCCAGUGGACACAAGUGUGGGUAUGGCCAGGCCUUUGGACUUCUUGUGGCCAAGGAGUCAGCACCUUGGCAGGGAUACUUGCUCUCAAUCAGCAGGAAGAGGCUGCUGUUGUACAACGUGGCAGAGAGGAAUGUGUGUGAAACUUGGGUGAUCAAUCUAGUUGGGCACUUCUUGGUAUUCCCUUGCCUGGUUGUGACUGCGAAUGGACAAGUGCAGCAACUCUGGUGUGAAAUGGAUAUGAUUACCAGGGGCUCAGAUCUCACAGGAAUGAGGGUUUGGGUUACACCAUUGGGAAAGCUAGAGGUGAGGGGAAUUUAGAAUACAUGGUAGAGGAAAGACAGGAUGAGAACCAGCUGUGACUCCAAUACCAACUGUAGUGACAGGGACUGUAGUUAGUCCUACUAACCUACCUCUUCUAAGUUUCCCUUCAGGAAGAGAGACCCAUGGGAACCAUGGAGGAGUUCCCUGAAUGUGUAUGGGGAAAUCGAUCUGUGCAGUGCAGGGGGUGACCCGUGGUAGCCAUGGAGGUGUCCCACUCAGAUCUCCCUACAGCAGACCUGCCACAAGGGGUGGAGUUAGCGGACAGCUGUCAAGAUCUGCCUCAGCUUUCAAGCUGAGGCUACAUGCUUCCCAGACAGCCUCUAAGCAAAGGCCAGGCACUGCCAUGGUACAAGGGCUCACCAUUUCUGGCCAGUAUGGGACUCUUCGGGAGGGCAAUCUUUGCACCAGCACUCCCUGUUUUGCAGGCCUAGGCUUUCUCAGAGCUGCACUGCAGUCCAAGGCUCCUCCUACCCAAAUAUCUUUCCUGGCCCCUCUCCUUUCUCAGGUUUUAGUCCUACAUCACGAACUAAAGGUGUUCCUUGUCUGGUCCUGUUCCCUCUCCCUUUUAUGUUUUAUAGGCGUUGCCCCUAAUAAACCUUUUGUAUAUCUGA